rnacentral:rRNA from 1 species
GAUGAACGCUAGCUACAGGCUUAACACAUGCAAGUCGAGGGGAAACGACAUCGAAAGCUUGCUUUUGAUGGGCGUCGACCGGCGCACGGGUGAGUAACGCGUAUCCAAUCUGCCCAUCACUUGGGUAUAACCUUGCGAAAGUAAGACUAAUACCCAAUGAUAUCCCUAGAAGACAUUUGAAAGAGAUUAAAGUUUUAUCGGUGAUGGAUGGGGAUGCGUCUGAUUAGCUUGUUGGCGGGGUAACGGCUAACCAAGGCAACGAUCAGUAGGGGUUCUGAGAGGAAGGUACCCCACAUUGGAACUGCGACACAGUCCAAACUCCUACGCGACGCAACAGUAAGGAAUGUUGGUCGAUGGACGAGGGCCUGAAACAGCCAAGUAGCGUGCAGGAAGACGGCCAUAUGGGUUGUAAACUGCUUUUAUAAGAGAAUAAAGUGAGAGUCGUGACUCUUUUUGUAUGUACCUAAUGAAUAAGGACCGGCUAAUUCCGUG